UCCCUGGUGGCUCAGACAGUAAAGCAUCUGCCUACAAUGCAGGAGACCCGGGUUCGUUCCCUGGUUUUGGAA
rnacentral:tRNA from 1 species